rnacentral:lncRNA from 1 species
AAAAGAGGAAAAUGAUAUUUUCUUACAAAAUGCUACAACAAACAAUCAACCAAAGAGAAAUAAGAGAGUGUGGUACUCAUCCAAAAAAUAAAAAUAAAAAGAUUUUCGUCACUUACAAAUGAUGUGAGUCACACUGCCUUCGCUUUAGAUGCUUCUAGCUCUCUCAAAUGUUUCCAAAUGGUGAUCUCCACCCAAACAAAAGAGAGAGUUUCUCUUACCAAAU